UAAAGUGCCUUCGAAGAGUCGAGUUGUUUGGGAAUGCAGCUCUAAGUGGGUGGUAAAUUCCAUCUAAAGCUAAAUAUUGGCGAGAGACCGAUAGCGAACAAGUACAGUGAUGGAAAGAUGAAAAGAACUUUGAAAAGAGAGUGAAAAAGUACGUGAAAUUGUUGAAAGGGAAGGGCAUUUGAUCAGACAUGGUGU
rnacentral:rRNA from 1 species